GUGGAGACUGGCAGUCGGGAAUACAGUCAGUUGACCGCGAGACUUCGCGCGGAAGGACGUAUGGAGACGACUUUUUGUCGCUCGUCGGGCUCCGCGGAAAACUUUUCGUCGUAUCGUCAGUGAUAAGUAUCUAGUGUGUGUGGCUAUUUAAUUUUAUUUUCCAGUGCGUUUUUGAGUGGUUGGUGAAGAUAUUUAUUUGAGUAGUGUCAGCCAAAUGAGUGGUCCGGCGUGACCGCUGCAUCAACAGGAUGCACCAAUGUUCGCUCUUCAUACUCACUCUCCUAUGCGUCUCCGUGAAAGAUAUAUCCGGUAGCUGGGAAGAAUGGUGGACUUACGACGGGAUUUCAGGUCCCGGCUUCUGGGGUCUGAUCAACCCGCAAUGGAGCAUGUGCAACAAGGGUCGUCGCCAGAGCCCCGUUAACAUAGAGCCAGAUAAACUCCUGUUCGACCCCUGGCUCAGGGACAUACAGUUUGACAAACAUAAGGUCAGCGGUGUUCUCCAAAACACAGGCCAAUCCCUGGUCUUCCGAGUGGAGAAGGACUCGAAGCAUCAGGUGAACAUUAGCGGGGGUCCACUGUCAUACCGCUACCAGUUCGAGGAGAUCUACUUCCACUAUGGCAUGGAAGAUAACAGGGGCUCUGAACAUCAGAUAGACCAUCAUACGUUUCCUGGAGAGAUUCAGCUAUACGGUUUCAAUAAGGAGUUGUACCACAAUAUGUCAGAGGCUCAGCACAAAUCUCAGGGUAUUGUUGGCAUCUCACUCAUGGUGCAGGUCGGCGAGCCAUUCAACGCGGAUUUUAGGCUGAUAACUAGUGCGUUCAACAAAGUAACUUACAGAGGUGCCUCAUUCCCCAUAAAGCAUUUACCUCUAAGUUCGUUACUGCCGAACACACAGCAGUACCUCACUUACGAAGGGUCCACUACUCAUCCUGGCUGCUGGGAGACGGCCGUGUGGAUCAUCUUCAACAAACCCAUUUAUAUUUCUAAGCAGGAGAUGUACGCUCUACGUCAGCUGAUGCAGGGGUCCCAGCUGACCCCUAAGGCCCCGCUGGGCAACAACGCGCGCCCAGUGCAGCCCCUACACCAUCGCACUGUUAGAACCAACAUUAACUUCAAUAAGCAAGGACUUCAGGGUUCAAACAACUGUCCAGACAUGUACCGGAAUAUGCACUAUACAGCCGUAAAAUCGUCAGAUGAUCUCAUAUCUGUGUCUGCGUCUGACCCAACAUUGAAAAUGACUUCAAUUGAACCUCCUACAAAUGAAGAAACUAAUUCAACUACUACCAGCAACCCAGUGGCCCAAGGAACACAACUUGCGGUACAGAAGCGUUGAUGACCUCGCUCUCGCUCAUAAUUAAAAUAUGUAUAUGUCCUUUUGUUCAUUUAUUACCUAGAUAUGAAUAUUUACUAAAAUCGUAAACUUCAUUAUAUGAGUUGAACUAUAAACAUUCUGAUAAUUUGGUUAUUGUUUACCUAAAAACAUUUUUGGUUUCGUAAGUUUCUAUGUAAUUUCAAUUAUGUAGGUAUGAUUAUAAGAAGAAAAAAAAUACUUAAUCAAGAAUUGUAUAACUUCAAAUACCAUACCAAAAAACUAUUUUAUUCGAUUGUAAAUAUAAGAAAAUAUAUAAACUUUAGUAUGUAGUCUAUGAAAAAAAUACUUACAAAGUUCCACAGGUAACGUAAUCGUACAGUAGACUAUUGUAAUCGUCGUGUAGACUAUAUUAUUAUUGUCAAUCAUUGCUUAUGUAAAUAAUUAAAAAAUACGUCGCCUAUAUUAAGCACAGCUGACUUUUCAUUUGAGGAUUUUAUAGUUGAAGUUUUUAAUAAACUUAGAUAAGUCUCGCUAUAAGAAACUCCGUGCAAUUACGCCUCAAAACGAGGCAGAGACUUUUGGCGAGGCAGCCGUGACGCCUUGUCUGCUUAAAUGAUAUAACAACUAACCUAACCUAACUGUACUAAUCGAACGGACUUUUAUCAAUUAGAAUUUACUAUAUAAUAUAUUGUAACCAAAAGGCACAGUAAAAAAUAAAAUUUUUGCUAUAUAGGGUGGUUGGUAAUUAGUUACCGAUGCUUGAAUACGUGAUUCUACUUAUGAUCACAAAUAACUUUCGAAACUUUUUUUAUUCUCAUUGAGAGAAGGCGCAAAGGUUUCAGUUUCAGACAGCUGUUUUGCUAUUCUGAUUAAACUAAUGAGUAGAAAAAAAUUCUGUUGUGAAAUUUGGUUUCUCAUAAUGAGAGUCACGUGCUUAAAAAUAUCGGUCAUUAAUUACCAGUUACCCUGUAUAAAGAAAAUUAUUACACAACUUCGUCUACAUACAUUGCCUCCCAUCCUCAUCCUCCGAGCCUUUUUCCCAACUAUGUUGGGGUCGGCUUAUAGGGUUACGUCUAAUAUGGCAAAACACAAGCAUGUAUGAAAACGAAUUAAUUCAUUAAAAAAUAAAAUGUAAUUAGACCUUAUAAAAAAUAAUUAUAAAUCGUCAAUUGUGUAGACAAUAUUUCCAAACAAACAAACGGUAUAAUCUUUAAGCAAUAUACAUUAAACCAAGCUUUGAAUCUUAUAUAUCACUUUUACCUUGUACUAUGUAAAGUAUAUAGCUGUUAUGUAGACUUAUAAAUGUAUAUAGGAAUGUAUAUAAUAUAAAAAAUAUGAUUUCAAUAAUAUAUUAAAGUGAAGUAUCAUAAUUCGUCCACACUAUUAAGUGUAUUUAUGGCAAAAAUAUGACUGUAAGGCUUCUAAUAUAAUAUGUAGGUUAUGCCACAUAAAGUAAACAAACAAAAUAUAAAAAUUAUAUUAUUUGGUAGAAAGUUGAGUUGUAAAAACAUAGUUUCAAAUGAAUUACAAAAAUAAAAAUUUUGCUUAGCAGGCUUUCCUUUAUAUAUACAUUUGCUUUACAUAUAAAAUAAUACAUAAACAAAAAAUGCUUAACACUAGAUUGGUAUACAUAUAAAAUUAGGCCGUAGAUAAAUAUAUUAUGUAGACAUUGGCAAAUUAGAAUUAAAAAGAAAAAAACUAUUUAUAUCAAAACUCCGGUAAAAAAGCUAAAAUUAGGCUAAAACAAAAGGUGUGUUUUUGUUAACGUUUUUGGUAAAAAUAUAUAAAUUACUAUACGAUUACUGUAAGUGACUGUAAUGUACCUAUGGAAUUAAAUGUAGUAGUUUAGACGCCUGUGUUGUCAUUAUGAGUUAAAUAAUAAAAUGUUUAUCAGAA
rnacentral:misc_RNA from 1 species